GAACAGAUGCUAAUACCGGAUAACAACAGAUGAUGCCUAUCAACUGUUUAAAAGAUGGUUCUGCUAUCACUCUUGGAUGGACCUGCGGUGCAUUAGCUAGUUGGUAGGGUAACGGCCUACCAAGGCGAUGAUGCAUAGCCGAGUUGAGAGACUGAUCGGCCACAUUGGGACUGAGACACGGCCCAAACUCCUACCGGGAGGCAGCAGCG
rnacentral:rRNA from 1 species